GAUGAACGCUGGCGGCGUGCCUAAUACAUGCAAGUCGAGCGGCAGCACGGUCUUCGGACUGGUGGCGAGCGGCGGACGGCAGAGUAACGCGUAGGAACAUGCCCCAAAGUGAGGAAUAACUGCCCGAAAGGGUGGCUAAUGCCGCAUAUGCUCUUCGGAGUAAAGCUUUAUGCGCUUUGGGAGUGGCCUGCGUCUGAUUAGCUUGUUGGUGAGGUAAUAGCUCACCAAGGCGACGAUCGGUAGCUGGUCUGAGAGGAUGAUCAGCCUGACUGGAACUGAGAACGGUCCAGACUCCUACGGGAGGCAGCAGUAGGGAAUUUUCCACAAUGGGCGAGAGCCUGAUGGAGCAACGCCGCGUGAGGGAUGACGGCCUUCGGGUUGUAAACCUCUUUCAGUAGGGACGAAGCGCAAGUGACGGUACCUACAGAAGAAGGACCGGCCAACUACGUGCCAGCCGCCGCGGAA
rnacentral:rRNA from 1 species